AGUGAACGCUGGCGGUAGGCCUAACACAUGCAAGUCGAACGGCAGCACAGUAAGAGCUUGCUCUUACGGGUGGCGAGUGGCGGACGGGUGAGGAAUACAUCGGAAUCUACUUUUUCGUGGGGGAUAACGUAGGGAAACUUACGCUAAUACCGCAUACGACCUACGGGUGAAAGCAGGGGAUCCUCGGACCUUGCGCGAUUGAAUGAGCCGAUGUCGGAUUAGCUAGUUGGCGGGGUAAAGGCCCACCAAGGCGACGAUCCGUAGCUGGUCUGAGAGGAUGAUCAGCCACACUGGAACUGAGACACGGUCCAGACUCCUACGGGGGGCAGCAGUGGGGAAUAUUGGACAAUGGGCGCAAGCCUGAUCCAGCCAUACCGCGUGGGUGAAGAAGGCCUUCGGGUUGUAAAGCCCUUUUGUUGGGAAAGAAAAGCAGCAGGUUAAUACCCCGCUGUUCUGACGGUACCCAAAGAAUAAGCACCGGCUAACUUCGUG
rnacentral:rRNA from 1 species